AGUAAUGCGUCUGUUAUUUUUUUUAUUGUACUCAAUGCACGAACAUUUAGAUCUUUGCAUGAUUUCGCAUCUGAUAUUAGUUUGAAAAGUCAUACUACUACUAUUUUCUUGUGUCAUCUUUCAUGUUCCAUGCUUCCUUUGGACAUGAUUUGAUUUGAACUUACCUCUAGAUGAGUUUGGCGCGGUUGAUUUUGAUUUUGUUCAAAACAUCAAUGGUAAGUAAAGUUAGCUCAGUUCUAAAAUUUUGGUACUACUAAAACAUGACUGCUAUUUGUUUCAACUCAUGUCCACCCUUGUAUUUGUUUCAACUCUUAUGUUACAUGAUACUAAUUAACGUUCUUUUGUACAACAUGCUGAUGAGCCUCCGGUUCAAGUGAACCAACGAAGGAAAGAAAUGACAGAAAACUUUAGAAAACAAGUUUAUCAAGCGUUGUUGGCUAGAAGCAACAACGGAAUACUCCACAAGUAAGAUACCCAAAUUGUUGCUGAUCAAUUUGAUCUCCACGUUCGGACAGUGCAGCGCAUAUGGCAGAGAGGUAAAAUACAAUUUGCAAGUUCUGUCCUGGUUGUGUUUUCUAGUCUAAAAAAGGGCAGAGUUGGUCGUAAGCCAAUUCCUAUUGAUUUGGAAGCUUUGCGUGAAAUUCCUCUAAAGGAUAGGAUGACCAUAGGAGAUGUUUGUGCCAAACUUAGGAUUAGCAAAUGAAGGGUGCAAAGGUAUUUGAGAAGAGGUUUGCUUAGGCGGCACUCUAGUAGUAUGAAGCACCAUCUCACUGAUGCUAAUAAGAAGACUAGGUUGCAGUGGUGUAUUGACAUGAUUGAGAGGGGGUUGAGUGGUGAUCCAAGGUUUAAGGAUUUUUUUUACUUUGUCUUCAUUGAUGAAAAAUGGUUUUACCUCACCCAAAAAUCUGAAAAGUAUUACUUGCUCCCCGAAGAAGACGAUCCACAUAGGACUUGUAAGAACAAAAACUAUACCCCUAGGCUCAUGUUUUUGUGUGUUUGUGCUCAGCCGAGGUUUAGAGAUGGGGAGAGCAUUUAUUAUGGUAGAAUUGGAUGUUUUCCUCUUGUCACUUAUGAGCCGGCUCAAAGAAGUAAUGCGGUAACCGGCCGUGUCCGUGGAGAUAUGGUUAUGAAACCCAUUACAAGUAUCACAAGAGAUGUCAUUAGAGAAUUCAUGAUUAACCAAGUCUUGCCGGCUAUUAGAGCCAAGUGGCCAAGAGAAGAUGUGGGCAAUCCUAUUUUCAUUCAACAAGACAAUGUACCUUCACAUUUAAAGUUGGAUGAUCCAUUGUUUUGUGAGCAUGCAAAGCGAGAUGGUUUUCAUAUUCGGCUCAUUUCUCAACCACCAAAUUCUCCUGAUUUCAACAUUUUGGACUUGGGUUUUUUUCGAGCAAUUCAAGCAAUUCAAUACCAAGAGCAUGCAAAACUAUUCAAGACCUAGUUCCAGCCGUGCAACAGGCAUUCAUGAGUAUUGUCCACGUAAAGCAAGCCGCAUCUUCGGGACAGUAAAAACUGUUUUAAUCGAAACAAUGAAGAUGAAAGGCAACAACUUUAAGAUCCCUCACAUGAAAAAGGAGACAUUAGAAAGACAAGGCCGCCUGCCAACUUCUAUCCCGUGCCCACCAUCCUUGCUAGAUGAAGCCUAGACUACACUUGCUGCAUUGUAGAGGGAAAAAGCUAGUUAGAUAUUGGAAGGUUUCUGUAAUUUCUUUUUUUACCAUGUUGCAGCAUGAACACAAUUAGAAUGUUUGUGCUUGUUAUCUUAUCGUUGUUGUGUCGUCAUCCUUCCCGGCAGCGAGCUCACGUUGUUGCUUCACGUCGAGCAUCUUGAGCACAUGUGGAUCAAA